AUGCCGUGGAGCAAGUCAGAUGAAUAAUGGCAAAGGUUGUAAAAUAAACAGCUGUGGUUUUGGCGAAGAGAAUGGCUUAAGCGGGAAAAUUGAGGCAAUAUGCUGCAAAGAAACUGAACACAAUUGGCCGUUUGGCUAAAAAUUUGGCUACGCGGAUGGAGCUUUGAUACCCCUAUGCACCAUAUCUGGAAAAGUUAAAAACAUACGUAUAGUUCUUAGUUGAGUGAGGGAUUCAUAGAAAUGUAACACAUUCUUUUGCAAUAAAGCUUAAAU